ACUGGUGAGAGAGGGAAAAUAGAGAGAGUAAACUGUAGCUUGUUAGAGACCGCGACGUAGAAGUGGAUACCAAUGAAAGGGCAAAUAAUAGUAAACAAGCGAGGUUUUGAAUUUAUUUAUUUAUUUAUUUAUUUUUACUUUUACCGGCUUUUUGGAGGUUUUUGUACACCGCUUCUGCAUAUUUCUGCUGGAUAAGUUACUGCAUGGACGAGGACUUGUCUACGCUGGAAAUGAAAGAUGGCGAGCUGACCUUUGGGGAAAUCGAGUUGUCUGAACGGCUGCUUCACUGACACUACUCUACACCCCGUGGAUAAGGAUGAUUCAUACACAUGAGUUACGGUCACCAGGAUCCUAUGAUUUUAACUCACUUGUGAACUGUGGAAUGAUGGGAGGCGUGUCCUCGUCCAGGUCAUCUACUCCUCCCGCGAUGGGGUAGGGAGGCACCGAGACUCGAGGCAUCACCACCCAGCUGUG